UACGUAGGGUGCAAGCGUUAUUCGGAUUUACUGGGCGUAAAGCGCAUGUAGGCGGUUUUAUAAGUCUGAUGUGAAAGCCCCGAACUCAAUUUGGGAAGUGCAUUGGAUACUGUAAGACUAGAGUAUAGGAGAGGUUGGCGGAAUUCCUGGUGUAGAGGUGAAAUUCGUAGAUAUCAGGAGGAACAACAGAGGCGAAGGCGGCUAACUGGACUAUAACUGACGCUGAGAUGCGAAAGUGUGGGGAGCAAACAGG
rnacentral:rRNA from 1 species